rnacentral:rRNA from 1 species
UUUUUUUUUUUCACUUAAUGGUGAGAAGUCCUGCUUGCUGAAAUGCGAAGCUGAAGUCCUGACGUCGGAUACGAGCGCCUAGUGGGCCACUUUUGGUAAGCAGUACAGGCGNNUGUGGAUGAACCGAUCGAUGAGUUAUGGCGUCCGACGAGACGCUCAUGAGAUCACAGCAAAGGUGUUGGUUGCCAUAGACAGCAGGACGGUGGCCAUCGAAGUCGGAACCCGCUAAGGAGUGUGUAACAACUCACCUCCCGAAGCAACUAGCCCUCAAAAUGGAUGGCGUUAGAGCGUCUGCCGUAUACUCGGCCGUUGCAGCAGCAGCAGUUAUUUGAUAAAGUCACGCUGCAACGAGUAGGAGGGUCGCGGCGGAGGCGUCGAAGGCUUACGGGCGUGAGCCUGGCUGGAGCCGCCGUCGGUGCAGAUCUUGGUGGUAGUAGCAAAUACUCAAGCGAGAACCUUGAGGACUGAAGUGGAGAAGGGUUCCAUGUGAACAGCAGUUGAACAUGGGUCAGUCGAUCAUAAGGUAUCGGCGAAAGCCGUUCAGAAGCGGUGUGGAUAGUGGCUUUCGGGCUACUGGUUAUUGUACUGGCUUUACGGUUAGCGCAGUGAUCACCGCACCUACCGAAAGGGAAUCGGGUUAAUAUUCCACGAGACCACGGCAUCGGAUACGUCAGUCCUCGGACUGACAGAUGCGGCAACGCAAAUGAACUCGGAAACGCUGACACGUGCCCUAGAAAGAGUUGUCUUUUCUUCAUAAGGCACAGGCUCCCUGGAAUCGGAUCAUCCGGCGAUAGGGAGAUGGUGACCGUAGAGCACCGCGGUUCUUGCGGUGUCUGGUGCGCACGUGUCGGUCCUUGAAAAUCCGAGGGAGAGUGUGAUUUUCGUGCCGGAUCGUACCCAUAUCCGCAGCAGGUCUUCCCAAGG